CAAUAGCGUAUAUUAAAGUUGUUGCAGUUAAAAAGCUCGUAGUUGGACCUUGGACCUGGACAGGCGGUCCGCCUCACGGCGUGUACUGUCUUGCUGGGUCUUUCCUCUUGGUGAUCUGUUGUUUCGGCAGCAGGGAACCAGGACUUUUACUUUGAAAAAAUUAGAGUGUUCAAAGCAGGCUCGACGCCGGAAUAUAUUAGCAUGGAAUAAUAAAAUAGGACGUGCGGUUCUAUUUUGUUGGUUUUUGGAAUCGCCGUAAUGAUUAAUAGGGGCAGUCGGGGGCAUUAGUACUCACAUGCUAGAGGUGAAAUUCUUGGAUUUUGUGAAGACUAACUUCUGCGAAAGCAUUUGCCAAGGAUGUUUUCAUUAA
rnacentral:rRNA from 1 species